AGUCUCAGUUCGGAUUGAAGGCUGAAAUUCGCCUUCAUGAAGCCGGAAUUGCUAGUAAUGGCAGGUCAGCAUACUGCCGUGAAUAGUUCCCGGGCCUUGUACACACCGCCCGUCACACCAUGAGAGUUGGGAAUACCCGAAGCCUGUGAGCUAACUUUUUAAGAGGCAGCAGUCGAAGGUAGAAUCAAUGAUUGGGGUGAAGUCGUAACAAGGUAAC
rnacentral:rRNA from 1 species